CAGCAGCCGCGGGAAUACAGAGGGUGCGAGCGUUAAUCGGAUUUACUGGGCGUAAAGCGUGCGUAGGCGGCUUCUUAAGUCGGAUGUGAAAUCCCUGAGCUUAACUUAGGAAUUGCAUUCGAUACUGGGAAGCUAGAGUAUGGGAGAGGAUGGUAGAAUUCCAGGUGUAGCGGUGAAAUGCGUAGAGAUCUGGAGGAAUACCGAUGGCGAAGGCAGCCAUCUGGCCUAAUACUGACGCUGAGGUACGAAAGCAUGGGGAGCAAACAGGAUUAGAUACCCCUGUAGUCCCUGUCUCUUAUCU
rnacentral:rRNA from 1 species